GCUACGGGGGGCAGCAGUAGGGAAUCUUUCACAAUGGGCGAAAGCCUGAACCAGCCAAGUAGCGUGAAGGAUGACUGCCCUACGGGUUGUAAACUUCUUUUAUAAAGGAAUAAAGUGAGGCACGUGUGCCUUUUUGUAUGUACUUUAUGAAUAAGGAUCGGCUAACUCCGUGCCAGCAGCCGCGGUAAUACGGAGGAUCCGAGCGUUAUCCGGAUUUAUUGGGUUUAAAGGGAGCGUAGAUGGGUUGUUAAGUCAGUUGUGAAAGUUUGCGGCUCAACCGUAAAAUUGCAAUUGAUACUGGCAGUCUUGAGUACAGUUGAGGUAGGCGGAAUUCGUGGUGUAGCGGGGAAAUGCUUAGAUAUCACGAAGAGCUCCGAUUGCGAAGGCAGCUUACUAAACUGCCAAUGACAUUGAUGCUCGAAAGUGUGGGUAUCAAACAGGAUUAGAUACCCCGGUAGUC
rnacentral:rRNA from 1 species